rnacentral:tRNA from 1 species
GGAGAGAUGUCCGAGAGGUCGAAGGAGCACGACUGGAAAUCGUGUGUACUGCAAGGUACCGAGGGUUCGAAUCCCUCUCUCUCCG